rnacentral:rRNA from 1 species
AGAGUUUGAUCAUGGCUCAGAACGUACGCUGGCGGCACGCCUAACACAUGCAAGUCGAACGAAGUAGCAAUACUUAGUGGCGAACGGGUGAGUAUAAUGUAGGUAUCUGCCCUUUGGUUUGGAAUAACACGAGGAAACUUGUGCUAAUACCGGAUAAGCCUUCACAGGGAAAGCUUUAGCGCCAAAGGAUGAGCCUGCACUUGAUUAGCUAGUUGGUAAGGUAAUGGCUUACCAAGGCUACGAUCAAUAGUUGAUCUGAGAGGAUGAUCAGCCACAUUGGGACUGAGACACGGCCCAGACUCCUACGGGAGGCAGCAGUGGGGAAUCUUGCACAAUGGGGGAAACCCUGAUGCAGCGAUGCCGCGUGAGUGAAGAAGGCCUUUGGGUUGUAAAGCUCUUUCGUCGGGGAAGAAAAUGACUGUACCCGAAUAAGAAGGUCCGGCUAACUUCGUGCCAGCAGCCGCGGUAAUACGAAGGGACCUAGCGUAGUUCGGAAUUACUGGGCUUAAAGAGCUCGUAGGUGGUUAGAAAAGUUGGUGGUGAAAUCCCAAGGCUUAACCUUGGAACUGCCACCAAAACUUUUUAACUAGAGUAUGAUAGAGGAAAGUGGAAUUUCUAGUGUAGAGGUGAAAUUCGUAGAUAUUAGAAAGAACACCGAUUGCGAAGGCAGCUUUCUGGAUCAUUACUGACACUGAGGAGC